AGAGUAUGAGGACAUACUGCUGUACAAGACUGCUGCCAGCAAUGCUGGCCAGAAGAAAUACAGAGACGGGCUUUCCACUAAUGACAAGAGAAGUAUAAGAGACAAAACUCAAAGAUAUGCUCUGCAGCAACAAUGCUUAUACCUGCCUGAGAAGGACAGCACUGGCAUGCAUAGAAUGAGAAGAGUUGUGGUGAAGCAAGAGGAGAAAAGCAGGAUACUAAACAUGUGCCACGGUGGACUGGAUGGGAUGCAUUUUGGGAGAGACAAGACCUAUGGAAAGGUUGCUCAGGAUUUCUACUGGAAAGGCCUACAUGCUGACGUCAUACAGCUCUGCAAGCACUGCGACAAAUGCCAACGAACGAAUCACCAACUGCAGAAGCCCAGAGCAGAACUACACCCCAUCCCUGUGACAAAGGUCUGGUACAGAGUUGGUAUUGACUUGGUAGGACCUCUACCUGAAACAAGCUCUGGAAACAAGUACAUUAUCACCCUCUCAGACUAUUUCUCUAAGUGGCCUGAGGCUGCCCCACUCCCAUCAAAAUCAGCAGAAGGUGUAGCAAAAUUUCUGUUUGACACAUUUUGCAGGCAUGGGUGGCCAAAAGUGAUUCAAUCAGACCAAGGAAGAGAGUUUGUCAACGAAAUCAACACCCGACUUUUUCAGUUGACUGACAUACAGCACUGCGUAUCAAGUGCUUACCACCCACAAACAAAUGGCCUUGAUGAACGCUUCAACCAGACUCUAUAUAGUGAACACUCUCAAGAAGGUAAUCGAUUCUAUAGUACUGAUGACUGGGAUUAGCAUCUCUCUGCUGCUCUUUAUGCCUAUCGCAUAUCAAAACAGGCGUCAUCAAAGUACACACCCUUUUUCCUAAUGUUCAAUCGCCACCCGCGUAAAGCUGUUACUUUUGAUAUGGAUCAACGAGAUGGUGUCGACGCUAUAGAAGAUAGAGGAGAUGCUGACCAAUUGAGUGGAGAGGAGACUGAAAAUGAAGAAGACGGAGAAGACAUGGAUGGAAUUCUCCAAAGGUUGAUGGAAAUUCGUGACCGCUGUCACCUCAAUGCCAAGGAGAACAUUGCUGCUGCACAGCAAAAACAGAAGCAGCAGUAUGACAACAAGCAUAACUCUUUGAAGAGUUAUCCAGUUGGCAGCAGUGUCAUGCUAUGCUAUAUCGUGUCAUGGCCAAUUCUCAUCGAAUGGGAGGGAAAAUGGACUGCACCUGGAAAGGUCCAUAUAUUGUCCAUAAGAUCCUUGACAAGGGUAGAUACGAGUUGCAGUCUGGGAGCGGCAAAGUAUUGAAAAAGUGUUACAAUGGGGUACUGCUAAAGGAAUACUACUCUCCAGAAACCAACGAUGAAGAAAACACUCUUCCUGGCUCUGAAGACAACCACUCUUCUCCAGUCAAAUCACCUCCUAAGAAUAAACGAAUGCCUGACGUAUACCCUCUCAAAAUCCUGACCUACCCUCUCAAAAGCCUGAUGCACCCUCUCAAAAGCCUGACCUACCCUCUCAAAAGCCUGAUAUACCCUCUCAAAAGC